GAGGUGAUGCAUGACAGGUGUUUGAUGAAAUGCUUUGUGCUCUUGUCUCCUUUGUUUGUGCCGGUGUCGCCCUAUCCUCUGCCCUAGCUCAUUGCCGCAGCGACAACCUGAUUCCAUCUAGGAGAGAUCUUGGAUAUGGUAUACGGUGUUGCUCCGAUGAGGAUUAAAUAUGGGAGGUUAGCUGAUCAGAGAUAGAGUUUCAGUGUAGGGAUCUAUUUGAGGUGUUGUUGCUAGAACAGUGGGCGUUCACUGCAAGGAAAUGUUGUCGGGCAGUGAAACAUUGGAGAAGGGGUUGUUGACAUGGAGUUAAGGUUAGUAGGAGAUGGAAAUGUGGGCAACAGUGAGCAUCACACCUGUGGCUUCCAAUAGUGGGUUGG